AACGAACGCUGGCGGCAUGCCUAACACAUGCAAGUCGAACGAGACCUUCGGGUCUAGUGGCGCACGGGUGCGUAACGCGUGGAACCCUGCCUUAGGUUUGGAAUAACCUCCCGAAAGGGGUGUUAAUAACGGAUAAAGUCCUUGGACCAAAGAUUUAUUGCCUUUGUAUGUGCCCGCGUUGGAUUAGCUAGUUGUUAGGGUAAAAGCCCACCAAGGCGACGAUCCAUAGCUGGUCUGAGAGGAUGAUCAGCCACACUGGGACUGAGACACGGCCCAGACUCCUACGGGAGGCAGCAGUGGGGAAUAUUGGACAAUGGGCGAAAGCCUGAUCCAGCAAUGCCGCGUGAGUGAUGAAGGCCUUAGGGUUGUAAAGCUCUUUUACCCGGGAUGAUAAUGACAGUACCGGGAGAAUAAGCUCCGGCUAACUCCGUG
rnacentral:rRNA from 1 species